UACGUAGGUGGCAAGCGUUGUCCGGAAUUAUUGGGCGUAAAGCGCGCGCAGGCGGCCUUUUUAAGUCUGAUGUGAAAGCCCACGGCUCAACCGUGGAAGGUCAUUGGAAACUGAAAGGCUUGAGUACAGAAGAGGAAAGCGGAAUUCCACGUGUAGCGGUGAAAUGCGUAGAGAUGUGGAGGAACACCAGUGGCGAAGGCGGCUUUCUGGUCUGUAACUGACGCUGAGGCGCGAAAAGCGUGGGGGAGCAAACAGG
rnacentral:rRNA from 1 species